GAUGUACGCUGGCGGCGUGCCUAAUACAUGCAAGUCGAGCGAACAGACGAUGAGCUUGCUCCUCUGUCGUUAGCGGAGGACGUGUGAGUAACACGUGUAUACCCUACCUAUCUUUCUGGGAUCUCUUCGGGAAACCGGAGCUAAUACCGUAUAAUAUAUUGAACCACAUGGUUCAAUAGUGAAAUACGGUUUUGCUGUCACUUAUCGAUGGAUCCGCGCCGGAUUAGCUAGUUGGUACGGUAACGGCUUACCAAGGCAACGAUGCGUAGCCGACCUGCGAGGGUGAUCGGCCACACGGGAACUGAGACACGGUCAAGACUCCUACGGGAGGCAGCAGUAGGGAAUCGUCCGCAAUGGGCGAAAGCCUGACGGAGCAACGCCGCGUGAGUGAUGAAGGUCUUCGGAUCGUAAAACUCUGUUAUUAGGGAAGAACAAAUGUGUAAGUAACUAUGCACGUCUUGACGGUACCUAAUCAGAAAGCCACGGCUAACUACGUG
rnacentral:rRNA from 1 species